AGGUAAGGGCGGUGAUGGGAUGUGGGUGAUAAACAGUGGGGAAAACGGAAACAGGAAUCGGGUGGCUUGUGGGAAGGAGAGGUUUUGUUCCUCACCUUUGCAGGUAGUGUGUCCCGAGACACUGAGCUUUUUUUUACAUUCACCUGAGCUACCACCAAGUCAAGCAGAUGGGGCCUUGGUUUAACAUCUCAUCUGAAGGAGAAGUUAAUUCCCCUUUCCACAACUGAGUGAGAGGAGCCUAUCUCUACCAGUGGAUCUUCCUCUCUCUCCACCUAGCAACACUGACUACAAAUGAUAGAGGCAUGUAGGGCCAUACUGAAUGGUUGUAUCAUCUGAAGGCAAGAGUGGCUUUGGGACAUGAAUGAAAAUUCACUGCAGUAACU